UACGUAGGGAGCAAGCGUUGUCCGGAAUCAUUGGGCGUAAAGCGCGCGUAGGUGGCUUCGUAAGUCCGUUGUGAAAGUCAAAGGCUCAACCUUUGAAAGCCGAUGGAUACUGCGGAGCUAGAGUACGGAAGAGGCGAGUGGAAUUCCUGGUGUAGCGGUGGAAUGCGCAGAUAUCAGGAGGAACACCAAUAGCGAAGGCAGCUCGCUGGGACGUUACUGACACUAAGGCGCGAAAGCUAGGGGAGCAAACAGG
rnacentral:rRNA from 1 species